rnacentral:rRNA from 1 species
GGCUCAGGAUGAACGCUAGCUACAGGCUUAACACAUGCAAGUCGAGGGGAAACGAUAGAGAAAGCUUGCUUUUUCUAGGCGUCGACCGGCGCACGGGUGAGUAACGCGUAUCCAACCUGCCCAUCACUUGGGGAUAACCUUGCGAAAGUAAGACUAAUACCCAAUGACGUCUCUAGAAGACAUCUGAAAGAGAUUAAAGAUUUAUCGGUGAUGGAUGGGGAUGCGUCUGAUUAGCUUGUUGGCGGGUAACGGCCCACCAAGGCGACGAUCAGUAGGGGUUCUGAGAGGAAGGUCCCCCACAUUGGAACUGAGACACGGUCCAAACUCCUACGGGAGGCAGCAGUGAGGAAUAUUGGUCAAUGGACGAGAGUCUGAACCAGCCAAGUAGCGUGCAGGAUGACGGCCCUAUGGGUUGUAAACUGCUUUUAUAAGGGAAUAAAGUGGGAGUCGUGACUCUUUUUGCAUGUACCUUAUGAAUAAGGACCGGCUAAUUCCGUG